rnacentral:rRNA from 1 species
UACGUAGGGGGCUAGCGUUGUCCGGAAUCAUUGGGCGUAAAGAGCGUGUAGGCGGCUCGGUAAGUCCGCUGUGAAAGUCCAGGGCUCAACCCUGGAAUGCCGGUGGAAACUGUCGAGCUAGAGUCCGGAAGAGGCGAGUGGAAUUCCUGGUGUAGCGGUGAAAUGCGCAGAUAUCAGGAGGAACACCAAUGGCGAAGGCAGCUCGCUGGGACGGUACUGACGCUGGGACGCGAAAGCGUGGGGAGCAAACAGG